rnacentral:rRNA from 1 species
GAGUUUGAUCAUGGCUCAGGAUGAACGCUAGCGACAGGCUUAACACAUGCAAGUCGAGGGCAGCAUAGAAGUAGCAAUACUUGGUGGCGACCGGCGCACGGGUAAGUAACGCGUAUGCAACCUACCUAUCAGAGGGGAAUAACCCGGCGAAAGUCGGACUAAUACCGCAUAAAACAGGGGCACCGCAUGGUGAUAUUUGUUAAAGAAAUUCGCUGAUAGAUGGGCAUGCGUUCCAUUAGGUAGUUGGUGAGGUAACGGCUCACCAAGCCGACGAUGGAUAGGGGAACUGAGAGGUUGGUCCCCCACACUGGUACUGAGACACGGACCAGACUCCUACGGGAGGCAGCAGUGAGGAAUAUUGGUCAAUGGGCGGGAGCCUGAACCAGCCAAGUCGCCGUGAAGGAAGAAGGAUCUAUGGUUCGUAAACUUCUUUUGCAGGGGAAUAAAGUGCAGGACGUGUCCUGUUUUGUAUGUACCCUGAGAAUAAGGAUCGGCUAACUCCGUGCCAGCCGCCGC